rnacentral:rRNA from 1 species
AUUGAACGCUGGCGGAAUGCCUUACACAUGCAAGUCGAACGGCAGCACGGGGGCAACCCUGGUGGCGAGUGGCGGACGGGUGAGUAAAGCAUCGGAACGUAUCCUGGAGUGGGGGAUAACGUAGCGAAAGUUACGCUAAUACCGCAUAUUCUGUGAGCAGGAAAGCAGGGGAUCGCAAGACCUUGCGCUCUGGGAGCGGCCGAUGUCGGAUUAGCUAGUUGGUGGGGUAAAGGCCUACCAAGGCGACGAUCCGUAGCGGGUCUGAGAGGAUGAUCCGCCACACUGGGACUGAGACACGGCCCAGACUCCUACGGGAGGCAGCAGUGGGGAAUUUUGGACAAUGGGCGAAAGCCUGAUCCAGCCAUGCCGCGUGAGUGAAGAAGGCCUCGG